UAGUAUAGGGAGAGAUGACAUAAGGAGGCGGCUAACAAAUAAAUACAAUUGAAAAGAAAUAAACAGCACAAUUGAUUUGUUUCCCUCUUAAGGUUUUUUCCCAAAUACAGAACGCAGGGUUUUUUCCCUCUCUAAGAUGGCUCUCAAUUUCUGAAACCCUUCACAUUGCAAUACCAAAUUCUAGGGCUCAAGGGUUUCACCAAAAUACAAUUAUUCUCGACCCAAGGCUUUCCUCUCAUGGUCAACAAUCCUCGGCAAAGGCCUGAAGAAGCUUGUAUGAGCAAGUUCUCAGAGAUACUUAUGGUGAUCUUAGUGAUGAUAUCAUUGAUAAACAAAUUGAAGCUGACUUUCCACGAUGGUUCAAAGAUUAUGUAUGGAAUAACAUAAAGUAGUUAUUACUGAAGAACAUAUCAUUUAAUAAAUAAAUCUAACUUAUUAUUAUUAUUAUUAUUAUUAUUAUUAUUAUUAUUAUUAUUAUUAUACAAUAGGUCAAUAAAAAUCUACAAGAGACAUUGAAUCCGUAUUUGCAAGUCUUAGCAGAGGGACCACUAAGAAAGGCAACAUCAUAUCCUGUUUAUAUUGCGAAUGGAUACAAAUUUUGCACUUCUGCAUGGGGUGAAGGAAGAAAAAUAUUUAACAGUGGGGUAUCUGUUAGUGGCAUCGGACAUGAUGGCACUACAAAUGAAUAUUAUGGUGUUAUUAAGGAGAUUAUCAAAUUAGAAUGGACAAGGACCACUCAAAAGUUAGUUUUAUUUUAUUGUGAUUGGUUUGAUCCGUCUAAACAUGGCAUGAAAGUUGAUAGCCAAUUUGAUAAGUUCAGCUGCUGCCAACUACCAAUUCUAGAAGCCCACCAUUGUUGAAGCCACCAACCCAUUCUAGAAGCCACCAUUGUUGAAGCCUCCAUUGUUGAAUGAAGAAUUCAACCACCAACCACCUUCUUUAAGGCUAUAAAUAGAGCCUUAUGUUUUACACAGAAACAUCAAUCCAGAGAGAUUGAAAUACAAUCCAGGAAGAGAUUGUGAGAACAAAAAGAGAGUUUGGUGAGGUUUUUGUAGAGAGAAAUUCUUGGUGUAAAUUCUCUAUAAUUCUAUUCUUGUGAAAUAGAGUUGUUUUUCCUCCCAAAUAAUCUUCAUAUUGAUCUGAGAAUCACAACAAGUGGUAUCAGAGCCUUCGAUUCUGUGUUCAUCGAGAAAUAUCGGAACACUGAAAAUUUCAACCCGGAUUUACGUUUUUUCGAAAACGUGAUCUUCGGUGUGUUUUGAUCAUUUCAUUAGAUUCCUUGCGUCGAUACGAAUUCAACGCAAUUUUCCGGAGGCCAAACAAAGCUAAAACGAAGAAGUUAUGACAAUUUUUUUUCUUCUGCCCAAGGAAGAAGAUGAUGAAUAGUAACUGCACAGUCAGCGCCACAUCAUCAUCCAGUCAGCGCCACAUCAUCAUCCAGUCAGCGUCACGUCAGCAUCCAGUCAUCGCCACGUCAGCAUCCAGUCAUCGCCACGUCAACAUCCAGUCAGCGCCACGUCAGCAUCCAGUCAUCAUAAUUUUUUUAGAAAUUUAUGAAAUAACCCCUGAAGUUACUGAAAUUAUAAAUCUGCCCCACAAGUUCAGUAUAUUUUCGAUUUAACCCCAAAAGUUUUGUGUAAAUUUUGAAAAUUUUCUGGAGGCCCUAUUUUGUCCCAAGAAGAGUCAAUCCUACCAUUUUUCACCAUUCCGGACGUGUUGGUGAGUUCCGUUUGGUGAGAUUCUGCUCCAAAAUUUUGACCAAGCCAUUUUAAAGACAUAAUGGAAGAGUCAUCAUCAUCUGGAGCUAUGAUAAAGCUUACUGCCACAAAUUACACAUUGUGGAGACCUCGGAUGGAAGAUCUCCUCAGUUGUAAAGAUUUGUUUGAUCCCAUAGAAGCAAAGGGUAGGAACCCCGAUUCCACCAAAGAAGCAGAGUG